rnacentral:piRNA from 1 species
UAACUACCUCGGAAUGUUACCCUACAGA